rnacentral:rRNA from 1 species
UACGUAGGUGGCAAGCGUUAUCCGGAUUUAUUGGGUGUAGAGGGCGUGUAGGCGGGAGCGCAAGUCAGAUGUGAAAACUCAGGGCUCAACCCUGAGCCUGCAUUUGAAACUGUGUUUCUUGAGUGCUGGAGAGGCAAUCGGAAUUCCGUGUGUAGCGGUGAAAUGCGUAGAUAUACGGAGGAACACCAGUGGCGAAGGCGGAUUGCUGGACAGUAACUGACGCUGAGGCGCGAAAGCGUGGGGAGCAAACAGG